UAACAUAAAAACACCACAGUUGACUGGACUGAUGAGAGAUCAGCUGAUGCCUUCAAAUGGAAAACUGCAGUGUGUACUGGGUUUAAUAUAUCCUGCCCCGGACCGUUUUUCCCCCAACAAGAGACUAGAUCUAGAUUGUUUCGCCUUUUUCAUUGUCGGACAUCUCCGUGAAAAUGAAUCGCGUGUUGACUUGGUGCGGCGAGGAGGUGAAAUGCCUCACUGACAUUUGGUCAGAACAACACAUCAGAUGUUGGUGUGGAGUUGGAUGGAGACGGGGAAGAUGCUGCACCACAGGACGGGAGAGAGGAGAGUCGCUGGACUCCACUGACGUGGAGGCAGAAGACAAAAAGUGACACUCUGACCGCCCAUUCCUGGAAGUCAGUCCAGGAAGAGGAAAGUGAAAUCUUCUCUGGUGUCAGACAGAACAAAGAAGAUUCCUGGAGCAGAUGCUUAAUGUGGAUCGAACCCAUCAAGCCCAACGCUUUCUCUGAGAACAUGAUGAGGUCUCAGCAGAAGGCAGAGGGUAGAAGGUUUAAUGCCAUGCAGGCACAACAACGGACCGAUCAGCAAAUGUUUAUGCAGCCUUGGAAAAGUUUCUGAAGAAUCUGUAGAAACUGUUCAACACUGUCAUUCACACGUAUUUAUGAUUGUUCAAAAGUGAAGGAAGGAAAAAUGUUGCAUAUUAUAACCUGUGUUGUCUACAUUAAUAUUGUUUUGUAUUUCCUGUUUCAAUCCAGUGUAAUAAACUGUCUAUAGAUUCA